rnacentral:rRNA from 1 species
GUGGGGAAUAUUGGACAAUGGGCGAAAGCCUGAUCCAGCCAUGCCGCGUGUGUGAAGAAGGUCUUCGGAUUGUAAAGCACUUUAAGUUGGGAGGAAGGGCAGUAAGUUAAUACCUUGCUGUUUUGACGUUACCAACAGAAUAAGCACCGGCUAACUUCGUGCCAGCAGCCGCGGUAAUACGAAGGGUGCAAGCGUUAAUCGGACUUACUGGGCGUAAAGCGCGCGUAGGUGGUUCAGCAAGUUGGAGGUGAAAUCCCCGGGCUCAGCCUGGGAACUGACUCCAAAACUACUGAGCUAGAGUACGGUAGAGGGGAGUGGAAUUUCCUGUGUAGCGUUGAAAUGCGUAGAUAUAGGAAGGAACACCAGUGGCGAAGGCGACUACCUGGACUUAUACUGACACUGAGGUGCGAAAGCGUGGGGAGCAAACAGGAUUAGAUACCCGUGUAGUCC